rnacentral:rRNA from 1 species
GGAAUAUUGGACAAUGGGCGCAAGCCUGAUCCAGCCAUGCCGCGUGAGUGAUGAAGGCCUUAGGGUUGUAAAGCUCUUUCACCGGUGAAGAUAAUGACGGUAACCGGAGAAGAAGCCCCGGCUAACUUCGUGCCAGCAGCCGCGGUAAUACGAAGGGGGCUAGCGUUGUUCGGAAUUACUGGGCGUAAAGCGCACGUAGGCGGAUAUUUAAGUCAGGGGUGAAAUCCCAGAGCUCAACUCUGGAACUGCCUUUGAUACUGGGUAUCUUGAGUAUGGAAGAGGUAAGUGGAAUUGCGAGUGUAGAGGUGAAAUUCGUAGAUAUUCGCAGGAACACCAGUGGCGAAGGCGGCUUACUGGUCCAUUACUGACGCUGAGGUGCGAAAGCGUGGGGAGCAAACAGGAUUAGAUACCCCUG